rnacentral:pre_miRNA from 1 species
UGGGUUCCUGGCAUGCUGAUUUGUGAGUUAAGAUUAAAAUCACAUUGCCAGGGAUUACC